ACUCCUACGGGAGGCAGCAGUGGGGAAUUUUGGACAAUGGGCGAAAGCCUGAUCCAGCCAUGCCGCGUGCAGGAUGAAGGCCUUCGGGUUGUAAACUGCUUUUGUACGGAACGAAACGGCCUUUUCUAAUAAAGAGGGCUAAUGACGGUACCGUAAGAAUAAGCACCGGCUAACUACGUGCCAGCAGCCGCGGUAAUACGUAGGGUGCAAGCGUUAAUCGGAAUUACUGGGCGUAAAGCGUGCGCAGGCGGUUAUGUAAGACAGUUGUGAAAUCCCCGGGCUCAACCUGGGAACUGCAUCUGUGACUGCAUAGCUAGAGUACGGUAGAGGGGGAUGGAAUUCCGCGUGUAGCAGUGAAAUGCGUAGAUAUGCGGAGGAACACCGAUGGCGAAGGCAAUCCCCUGGACCUGUACUGACGCUCAUGCACGAAAGCGUGGGGAGCAAACAGGAUUAGAUACCCGAGUAGUCCCAUG
rnacentral:rRNA from 1 species